UGGCUCAUGUAGUUAAUCACAGAGAUUUAAGACAAAAGUACUUCCCUGACAAGUAUUUGGAUGAGUGGGAAAUAACCACAAAUGGGAGCAGAGCCUUGCAGACUUUGUCCUGCUGGACUGAGCAGUGCUGUAAUUCCUUUCUUUCCAAAUCCAGGGCUGUCAAAUUCCAUUGGAAUUGUCCUGAACAACAAAGUCAGCAUCUUUCUGGUCUGAAGCCAGACUGCAAAGCGAGGGGGCAGAGAGGGAAAAGUUGUCUCUGGGACAAGUGGUACCUCCUGCUGGUGACCAUUUCUUGCUGAUACUGGAAUAAUCAGGCAGAAGUGAAGGAGCACAUGGAGGCAUGUAAAAAACCCACAAGGAUCUAGAAAGGAGAUGGAUUAUCCAGCACUAGAGAAUUCCUCUCUGUCCAUGCUAUUUGUGUUUCUUCCCCAACUUUGACAGGUUGAAUGGCUCCUUCUUUUUGUCUGGGAAAUGAGCAGCUUCUAUUGUCCUUACAGAGAUUUCCAGAUCCCAUGAAUCCUCUUGCAGUACAGCAGGAAACUACAGCCAGGAUGGGGUCCUGUGCCACAACAGGCUACAUUUUCCUGAUAAAGAAAUCAGCAACACAUUUGAGAAGCAGGAAACUAGAACUGCCAAAAUUGUUGAUGGCUCUGGUAGAAGCACAGCAGCAAAACCUGUUCUGCCUCAGAGGUCUCAGGUCCUUUGUCCAGUGACUACAACUUUAAAGGAACUGCAUCCAGGAGGAAACACCUGAAGACACAAGAAGGCAGAGGAGAGAAGGGUGGUUUGGCUGCAAAUAGAGAAGAGCUGCUCUUUGGUGUAGUUAAAGUGCACUCACUGCAGCAAGCCUGCACAUGCUUCAGGGUUUCACAGAUGCUACUUCAAAGAAAAGAAGGAAAAAGAAAGUUUAAUUUUUCUAAGACAACUUUUUUGGAUGAAGUUUGGAGGACAGCCCCUAUUUACUCAUUGAUGAAGGCAUGUCCCAGAAAAAUCAAAGCAGAGUCUAAAAACCUUCAAAAACAAAGCUCUAAGAUCGAAACCUUCCAACACCAUGACCCAGAUGCACUGUCACAGCUUUUCAACACAGGCUAAAAAAAGGCAAAAUCAGAAAUAACAGCUUCAAAAGGAAGUAAAAAACAACACUGAUAUCCAGAAUAGAACAAAGAUACAGAUCAAUAGAAAAAAGUUUCGAGCUGUCUCCAAUAGUUGAAACAUCCUGAGAGUAGGUUUCCCAAAAUACACUUCCAAAUGCUGGUGGGUAAAACCUCUAUCACACACAUUACAUAGUGUGGUAAUUACUGAGGUUGGGAUGGCUGUACUAAAGCCCUCCAGCAAAGAGACAGAAAGUAAGUCUGGAGACAAAACAAAGAGAGAAAAGGGGGAAAAAUCUAUGUGUGUUUUGGUGUCAGGAAGAGAUGUGAGAAAGGAGGGAUGACUUCAUAUCAUCCCUCCUUUCUCACAUCCCUCUUUCUCCAUAACCAAAAGCCACAUAUUUUGCUGUGGCUUUUGGUUUGUUGUUUUUUUGUAAAAAAAAUCUUUGGUCAUGCAUAGGUAUGAUGCAAUGGUUACUCAUUCCUUCUGCAAAACUUCAUGCUGCUCCUGAAGUAAUCCUUCUGGACUAGCCAUGAGAGCUAAGCACAGACCACUGAUUUGUGAAAAAACGUUGCAAAAUCAUGGAGAAACACUGAUUCCUUUUACAGUUUUUCCAAAUGU
rnacentral:lncRNA from 1 species